AAGAGUUUUCCCUUCAUUCAUUGUUUUGUGUUUGCACCACCCACUAAGUACUAACCCUUCCUCCUCCUCCCCACCCUUCGCACUUGUUCUGCUCUUUCGUUUCAGAGCAACAGUCAUCGAUGGAUUCAGCGCUGGAAUGCUAGCAGAAGGAGCAGCAUGGAACAAGGAGAAACCUAGGACUUGGCAUGAUUCUUAUUUUUAGUAGAGCCACUAGAAGACAAACACCUGGAUAAGAGGAAGAACACAGCAAGAAAAGACCUCAUCUCAAAGGAUCUACACUUUUGGAAACCAGAGCAGAAGUUACCUUUGACCAGAUGGACGUCGUACCAAUAUAGGCAUGUCAUGACCUGACCUUGAUAAACUAGU